rnacentral:rRNA from 1 species
AACGAACGCUGGCGGCAUGCCUAACACAUGCAAGUCGAACGAACCCUUCGGGGUUAGUGGCGCACGGGUGCGUAACGCGUGGGGAUCUGCCCUUUGCUUCGGAAUAACAGUUAGAAAUGACUGCUAAUACCGGAUGAUGACUUCGGUCCAAAGAUUUAUCGGCAAAGGAUGAACCCGCGUAGGAUUAGCUAGUUGGUGGGGUAAAGGCCUACCAAGGCGACGAUCCUUAGCUGGUCUGAGAGGAUGAUCAGCCACACUGGGACUGAGACACGGCCCAGACUCCUACGGGAGGCAGCAGUGGGGAAUAUUGGACAAUGGGCGAAAGCCUGAUCCAGCAAUGCCGCGUGAGUGAUGAAGGCCUUCGGGUUGUAAAGCUCUUUUACCAGGGAUGAUAAUGACAGUACCUGGAGAAUAAGCUCCGGCUAACUUCGUGCCAGCCGCCGCCGUAAGAC